rnacentral:misc_RNA from 1 species
GAUGAAGAACGUAGUGAAAUGCGAUAAGUAAUGUGAAUUGCAGAAUUCAGUGAACCAUCGAAUCUUUGAACGCACAUUGCGCCCGGCAGUAAUCUGCCGGGCAUGCCUGUCCGAGCGUCAUUUCUGCCCUCGAGCGAGUCCAGCAUCUAGGUGCUGGGCCCGCCCGGCGUUGGGGCACUACGGGAAGCCCUGUGCUGUCCCCCGUAGGCCCCGAAAUGAAGUGGCGGUCCUGCCGCGGCGCCCCUGCGUAGUAUAACAGCUCGCUUCGGGACCCGGUGGAGGCCUGCCGUCAAACCUUACUCUCUAAGUUUGACCUCGGAUCAGGUAGGGUUACCCGCUGAACUUAAGCAUAUCAAUAAGCGGAGGA